rnacentral:miRNA from 2 species
ACCAUCGACCGUUGAGUGUACC